rnacentral:lncRNA from 1 species
AUGGUUGUAUAAAUAGCGGUGACGGGAGAUACUGGGAACAUUGUCUCGAUAUCCCUCGUUCGUUUGGUUCGCUGUUAUUGUAGAAGAAACUGAGAGAGAUCUCUCGGCAUCUACUCUUUCCUUCUUCUUGUCUACCUUCUCUCACCGGCGGACUCCUCCAGGAUGAGGGCUCGGGUAUCAGCGCUGCUCCUCUUGCUCCUCCUGCUGCUGCUGCCUCUGGACAUCGCCGCAGGGAGAGGUACGAUGAUGGAAACCCUCCUAUUCCUCACUUCACAGCUGUUUAUUAGUGGACUGCUGAACGACUAAGAAGGUCUACUCUCUCUGUCUCUCGUCCGUCUGUCUAUCUAGGGAAUGAGAUGGAAGAAGAGCCUUCGCCCGCUUUCGAGGGGAACCGGCAGGUGGGUUUCUUAUUUUGAGGCCCUAAAUGUUGUUUUACUCGAUAAUGAGGAUCGAAAGCUCAAGGUAUUCCGUUGGUUUCAGGAUGAGAGUGGGAGUGUGAGAGAAAGGAGAGCUCCGGUGGGAAGAACAGGUCUCGAUUCAGGUAUGAUCCAGGAGAGUCCUCUCUAGUAGAAGCAAUCUUGUUAUAAUCCAACCGUAGACGGGAAAAGUUCUGUGAAAGAUUAUUUUUACUGAUCAUCCGAAACAUUCUCUCUCUCUCUCUCUCUCUCUCUCUCUCUCUCUC